CAUAUCCCCCCUGUCUCGUCUUUCCUCCAAGCUAUACAUGUUAAGAUCCUUUAACCUUUCCUGGUAAGUUUUAUCCCGCAAUCCAUGAACCGGUUUAGUAGCCCUUCUCUGAACCCUCUCUAAGGUAUCAAUAUCCUUCUGAAGACACGGUCUCCAGUACUGCGUACAAUACUCCAAGUGAGGUCUCACCAGUGUUCUGUACAAUGGCAUGAGCACUUCUCUCUUUC